ACAUCCAAGUCCUGUAAUGUAACUAACUGUUAGUUACAAAACACUUGGUCAGUGUUGAAUGACAAUGUACGGAGGGAAUACUUUGCAAUUAUUGGAACAUAAUCGAAGAAGAGAGCGCAAACGGCCGCCCAGUUGUUGCAAUGGGAGUAGCUCCAAUAGCAACAUGGUCUAUAAGCGGGAGGGGAAAAUGACGAGUCACAACAGGUUCCUUUCGUUGCGUGGCGAAGAGAUUAAACUCAGCUUUCAAUUUGUGUGAACUGAAACAUAUACGCUUCAACAUUACAACGUCCUCUUUUAAGCCGCUUUUUAACAGUUCCGAAGACUCAGACAACCCGCUGAGCGACUGGACCAUAAGGGGGACAAGCUGGCAGGUGGACCAUUCCUACGACGUUGGGCAAGCAUAGAUCUGCCUCUUAAUUUAUUCCCUCCACAGUCAAUGCUGAUUUAUUGACAAGUACAUCGAGCGAGGAUUCAACCCACCCAACAUGUUGUCCAGUUAUGGAAUGCCAUUGGGGACUAAACCGUCUGGGAAAGUACGGCUCGAUUCGACCAAAUGGACCACGUCAAAAAGAACGCGUUGGCGGGACCCACAUUUAACGUCUUCAGACGUUCCAAUCAAAAUGCAACGAGUGGACAAAAUAUAGGCCUAGUGCUUUCAUGGUCGAUCGUCAACUAGAAUGAACUAGGUAUAGGCCUACAGCCUAAAUAUACUUCAAACGAAACUAUAGCUUUGGUUUAUAUUGUUUAUGGUUUUUCAGUAACCAAAACGGCAGUGGUUAGUUUUUAGUCACUAAAUCUUAACCUAACUAAGCACCUUGUGCAAAUAGAACACUGAAAAUAAUCUGUAACUAUGUGUAUCUCGCAUGUCUGAUCUUUUACCACCGGUAAACUGCGACUCUGCCGGAGCAAAUGUAAUGUUCCAGGAUCUUCCCCCAGACUCCACAUAGUACUGAAUGAUGUUAACGUUCAACCCCGUGGCUCUGUCAUAUCCUUGUGAGGUAAUUUGCAUGUUGACUCAAUGCACUCGAGAAAGAACCAUUCACUGUUAGGUGUUCUGAAGGAGCAGAGCUGCCCCCUAGUGGACAUGACAGAGUACCGCCAGUGAAUUAACAAGAAAGGGCCAUCAAUUUCGUUUUUAUUAGAUGACGUUUCAACUGUCAACAAACGUAAAUGUGGUAAAAUGCACUACAGAAAUAAGACUUUUUAAUUUUCCUUUAAUGUUACAACAUGUUUUUCUGAGAUGUCAAAUAAAAGUAUUACAAAUCAAUUUUCAUUCUGUUAUUUUUGCAACACUUGGUAUCAGUACCCACUGUUGCUUGGGUUGCUAAUUGGCCAUUUUAGUAUGAUGCGCUACAAUAAGAUGAGAAUGAAACAUAGUC
ensembl:lncRNA